AGUGCCUGGCGUGCUCUGGUCCAUGGGGUCACGAAGAGUCGGACACGACUAAACGACUAAACAACAACAGCCCACACAAAAGCAAACAGUCUGGUCUGGUUUGGGACUAUUAAACCCAGGUCCAACAUCUCCCAAAUCUCAUUGGAGAUGAUGUCAGCUUGAGGACCUGUUACCCGAUAUGGAGGCAAAGCUAUGGGUCUAGCCUCUCCAGUCUCAAUUUUGAGCAGAGCCGAAUUAGUCUUCCCAGGAAAAUGUGAGAAGAUUUUCUGGUAUUCUGUAAGAACAGCUUUAACUUGCCAUUCCUGUUUUUCUGUUAAAUCAGGGGACAGGAUCACCUCUUGCGGGGGGCUUCCUUGACUUAACCUCCCCCAGCCUGUCGAAUUGACGCAUGGCUUUAUUUCCGACACAAUUGUUUGAUUUUUGACGUCACCCCCGGAGGCGCACUCCACUUCUUCACGAGACAGACAAAUGCCAACAUCAAAAGCUAUUUGAAACAAUUUUAUUUCAUUCACGAAAGAAAAUCUGACAUGUGAUUAUUAUGAUUAAGAUUUAAAGGAGACUAGAGCUGAUGUCAGUUGUGGAGUUGGCCCUGGAGCAUCAAGGAGGAAAGUCAGUGGGACACAAAGACCCAGAGAGAGGUAGAACAUAGGACAAGGAAGUAGUGAAGAUGAGGAAGCAGAGAACCGCUGGAGUUACCUGGUUGUUGGGCGAACCCCUUCCUCUUUCAUACACAUGAUCGGCGCCAUCUUUCCACACACAGGUUGUGCUUCCACAUGGGGAGUAAGAUUUUACUAUGAAACGGUACACCAUGGAAGAGAAGUACAAAAUCAUGCGCUAAGGGACUGCUAGGGUAUUCAACCGAGGAUCUAGAAGGCAGAGAAAACCUUGAGAGUCAUGCAUUAUGCUUAAAACUGAAUCUAUUCCAAGGCUUUAUUUCAAAGAGAUCCAAGAUUCCGGAACUGGAGGUCAUGCAAGUUCAGUUCUUUGUAUACAGUAUGCCCAGCAAAACAUGUUGAAUCUUUUGAGAAUAUUCUGAGGUUUAGUAUUUCAUUUCCUGGGCGGAAUACAAGAAAAGCAGUCUGCUAGAUUCCUUGCACAAAGCUGAUAUUGGCUGGCAAAAGGAAAGCUAAUUUUAAAGCAGAUAGUGGUGAAAAUAAGAAAUCUGUGCAACUGCCUCUCAGAAAUUGCCUAAAUGCUAUUUUAUUCUGUUUUAAUCUUCUUUCGCUGGGACUUCUUCUUCUUCUUCUUCUUCUUCUUCUUCUUCUUCUUCUUCUU